rnacentral:rRNA from 1 species
CCUACGGGGGGCUGCAGUCGAGAAUCAUUCGCAAUGGGCGAAAGCCUGACGAUGCGACGCCGUGUGAGCGAUGAAGGCCUUAGGGUCGUAAAGCUCUUUCGCCUGGGAACAAGAGAAGCUAGCGAACAACUAGCCUAUUUGAGGGUACUAGGUAAAGAAGCACCGGCUAACUCCGUGCCAGCAGCUGCGGUAAUACGGAGGGUGCAAGCAUUAAUCGGAUUUAUUGGGCGUAAAGGGCGUGUAGGCGGUUUUGUAAGUCAGAUGUGAAAUCCUGGAGCUCAACUCCAGAACGGCAUUUGAAACUACAUGGCUAGAGGGUAGAGGGAGAAAACAGAAUUCCACAAGUAGCGGUGAAAUGCGUAGAUAUGUGGAGGAAUACCUGUGGCGAAAGCGGUUUUCUACUUUAUUCCUGACGCUGAGGCGCGAAAGCAAGGGGAGCAAACAGGAUUAGAUACCCUAGUAGUC